UUCGCAAUGCCCGAAAGGGUGACGAAGCGACGCCGCGUGCGGGAAGAAGGCCUUCGGGUUGUAAACCGCUGUCGGGAGUUAAGAAAUGUAAGGAUGUUAAUAGCAUCUUUGCUUGACUAAGGCUCCGGAGGAAGCCACGGCUAACUUUGUGCCAGCAGCCGCGGUAAUACAGAGGCGGCAAGCGUUGUUCGGAAUUAUUGGGCGUAAAGAGCACGUAGGCGGCUAUGUAAGUCGGUUGUGAAAGCCUUCCGCUCAACGGGAGAACAGCAUCCGAUACUGCAUGGCUUGGGUGCGGGAGGGGAGAGUGGAACUUCUGGUGGAGCGGUGAAAUGCGUAGAUAUCAGAAGGAACGCCGGCGGCGAAAGCGGCUCUCUGGCCCAUAACUGACGCUGAGUGUGCGAAAGCUAGGGGAGCAAACGGGAUUAGAUACCCCGGUAGUCCUAGCCGUAAACGAUGGGCACUAAGUAGAGGGGUUUU
rnacentral:rRNA from 1 species